CUGCAGGAGGGGUGGGAGUGCCCUCCGGUGAUUAAACAGCCCCCGCCUCUGGUAGGUGCUGAGAGGGCGAGAUUAAGCGGGCACUUACUGUAUGGACUGUAUGGGCUACGUGUUGACCGCAUCACCUUGUAUCCCUCGGGCUCCGCCACCAGCGAGGAGAAGUUACAUCUUCUGGGAUCAGGGAGAAGAGAAUCUCACCCCUGACUCCUAACAGGGGCCUUCAACCCAGGGAGUCACAUCAGGAACCCAGUUCAAAAGAAGGACGCUCGCAUCUCCCUGCUAAGGAUGGGUUUCUGUGCCUCAGAGAUCCCCUACCUACCACCAGGCACCCCGGCCCUCCGUGCUCCCACUCAGGACUGUGCCAUCCAUCAGACCCUGUGGCUGAAGACCUGGCUUCUCCAUCCCCCACCCCACCUCACCGAAACUAGGCCAUCUCCAGGGCAGCCCCUAGACACCCCUCGCCCAAGAGGGAUCUCUACAAUCAUCAUUCCCGGACUCUCCCUGCCUUCUGUGAAGAUUCUCAAGGGUCCUCGCAGAAACGGCUCCCAAGGAACUUUCUGCUAAGUGUGUGAAGGCCAGAGCUCCUGCUGACUUUUGCUCGGGACCACCACCAGCUGAAAGUCUGGACAGUCUUUCCACACGUGGGCCAAUACACACCACCCUCCCCCCGACCACCAACCCUCUGUCACCAAUGCCCACGGGACAGUGACUGGUCCAGCAUGGAGACGCUCUUGUUGACACUCAGCAUCUUCUGCUCCGGUUCUGUGAUGUCCGAGCUGCUCGUGCAGUACGCGGGUCCUCUGAGGGCAGGGGCCAAGCCUCAUGGCUCUCUGUCUGCUCUACGGCACCAAGCACAAUGCUUUGCCCAUAACUGGUUCUCAGUCCUCUUUGAAGAUGGACAGAUGGAUGAACAGAUGAACACACGACUCCCCCAACCCUGGCCCCCCAACCCAGGGUUCCCAGUCUCACCAAUGGGAGUUGACCACCUUGCACAGGGCCAACUCACAGCACAUCCGCAGGUUGGCCUGGUGCUCUGCCAGACUGGACGCCGUGCACUUGAUGGGGUCCACCUCACAGUUCUCCUCAGAUUCAUACAGAGCACGGAUGAAUUCCCCUGCGGAGGAUGUGAACCAGCGCGCUGGCGACCUCCUCCUUGCCCUUGACAUUCAGGGCGGGCUCCAACACCGCACACAGCAUCCGAUAAUGGUUGGUGACAUACUCUGCAAACUCUUUAUAUAGCUCCAUGGGCAGGAUGCUCAUUGUCUGGUAACGCGCUUUUAGCCGCACAGCCGGGCAACCUCCUUUGCCCUUGCCCCCUGAGCCACCCCCUGAGCCCCCUCCCCCUCCCGAGCCCCCCAUGCCCCCGGAGCCCCCACUGCCUGUCGGCAGGGUCACGGGGUACCACUGCUCUGUGAAGUGGCGCCCAGCCAGGGUGGCCACAGGCACAGUCACCAGGCCGACAUAGCCCGCCUUGUCCUUCUUGCGCUUUUUGUCUGAGUCACGGUACAGGUGCAGCCGCAGGGCUCGGACGGCUGGCAGGUUGUUGAACUCGAAGUGCUCGCCCCAGAAGACGGUGUCCCCCGAGGCCGAGCGGGGCUUGGAGGUGGUGCGUGCAUACAGCAUAUCAUCCAGGCAGAGCUCGCAAUAGUACCGCUUCUUGGGGGGCAGUUCCCGCGCCUCUAUGAUCCACAGCUUCAACACGUUGUCCACCCGGCGGCUGUUGUCCUGGCAGGGUAGGGCGGGCACGGCAGAUGAAGGGGAAGGGACAGAGAGACAGAGACACCAAAAGAGGAGAGACGGUGAAAAAGCCAGACAGUCUCCGACACCAGCAAUCACAGGGCUGAGAAGGCGUGUGCAGGAUUAAACCGUGUCACCCCGGAAUUCAUAUCUUAUAGUCAUAUUAAGUGACUAUAGUCACUUAAGACGUGGUCGUACUGGACAAGGGUGGCCCCUAAAUCCAAUGACUGGGGUCUAUAUGGAGAGGGAGAUUUGGAGACCAGAGACACACGGAGGGGAGAUGACCACAUGAAGAUGGAGGCAGAAAGUGCACAGAUGCAGCAAGAAGUCAAGGGAUGCCAGAGACUGCCGGCAACCACCAGCAGGUAUGAAGGGACAAGGGAGGAUUCUUCCUAGAGCUUCCGAGGGAGCAAGGCCCUGCUGACACCUUGAUUUUUGACUUCCGAUCUCCCGAACU